UACGUAGGGGGCUAGCGUUGUCCGGAAUCAUUGGGCGUAAAGAGCGUGUAGGCGGUCCGGUAAGUCCGCUGUGAAAGUCGGGGGCUCAACCCUCGAAUGCCGGUGGAUACUGUCGGGCUAGAGUGCGGAAGAGGCGAGUGGAAUUCCGUGGUGUAGCGGUGAAAUGCGCAGAUAUCAGGAGGAACGCCUAUUGCGAAGGCAGCUCGCUGGGACGUAACUGACGCUGAGACGCGAAAGCGUGGGGAGCAAACAGG
rnacentral:rRNA from 1 species